AACAAGUGAUAAGGUUGAGUUCUGGUCCUUCUUCUAGAGUGCAUGAUUCAUCUUCACCACCUGAGAUAAUAUUCAGAUCCAAAAGGGUAACACUAACAUGCUGCUUUUUUGGCUCCUUAUUUUCUAAUUCCUCUUCUAAUUCCUCAACACAUAGCUGUUUCUUCUUUUCAUGUGGAUGCUGAAGUGGGGUACUUGGACUUGGGGGAGCCUCUGGUGGAGGAGCAGAAGAAGAGAAGAUGCUUGAACUUGUCGGUCUGUCACAAAAGCAUGGCUCCUUCAUGCUUAGUCCUUCCAUUGCUAGCUGCAGAGUACUUUCUUGUUUGUUAGGUUAAGGAAUUUUAAUUUGUUGAUUCUUCACAUUUUAAAUGGAUAAAAGUAGGAUAUAUAUUGGAGAGAGACACUUGUUUUUUGCUUUUAUUUUAUUUGUAUGUCUACACUAUCAUGCACACUAGCUAGGUAACCCUAUUUAGGUUAGAAAUAUUUAUACUAUAAUGGGAUAAUUGAUUCUAUCAAUAUAGAUUUUUUUUUCCUUCUUCUCAUAAGCCUCAAAAUUAAAAACUUUAUUUAAAGAAAAUCAACUAAUGUCUAAAAAUAGACAAAUGCUUCAUUUUGAUUAUUAAUUAUCCAAUAUAUGGAUGUGGAAUAAGCAUUACAACAAACAAUAAUGAUGUUUCUACAUCUAUAUAUAUAUAUAUAUAUAUAUAUAUAUAUAUAUAUAUAUAUAUAUAUAUAUAUAUAUAUAUAUUCAUAUCUCUUUCCUUCUAUUUUUUUUAGCAUAUCAUGUUAUUUAAUACAUCUUGCACUUUUUUGUUUUCUUUUUACUUAUCUUAUCCUUACCUCCUGCACUAAAAAAUUAGAGUCUACAAAUAUCAUUUUUUCUAAACAUAUAUCGUUAAAAGAGUAUAUGAGAAUACUAAUAUAAUUUUUUGAGCAUAUUUCUUAUUAUUAAUUGAAAUUUAAGAAAAUUUAUAAACAUACGAAUAAUACUAAUUAAAUAGAAAAAGGAAGAACUAAUUACAUUAUUUCUCAAUAUAGUAGUUAUAGAAGCGUUUCAGGAGAAAAAUUGAUGGGAUUUAUGGGUUUUUUUUAUUUGACUUUGUUUUGAAAGUCCCGUACCACAACCCAUGUGGCUGGAUGUGUAGACUCACAUCUAAUUGUUUUGUACUCUAAUACAGUGGGUCAUAUGUGUGAGAGAAUUAUAUCUGCAUGAACUGUAUGGUUUGGAGUGAACCCAUGUGACUGUUUAUAUGCUCAUGUAUCGACACGCAUUUGGAAACAUAAUUGCUUCAAAAAGAAUAAAAACAAUUAAAAUUUAAAUUUAAUUAAUUAGAUUCAAUAAAUGAAAAAUGAUUUAUUUUUGUUUUUAUAAAACAAAAAAAUCACAUGUUAAUAAAAUAAUUACGAUAAAAAAGUUUAACACAUAAAUUUUAUUUUAUGUUAUAUAUUUUUUUCUCAAGAUUUACUUUUAAGUCUUAUUUAUCGUUGCAAUGACACCUUCAUGUGUGGGAACAUUGCAAUUUGUAGGCUAUUGGAAAACCAGCGAUAAGGUACCGUUUGGAGUUGGCAUUGGGGCACAACUGCACAACAAGGACAAAGAAGAGAAAUUAUGGAGUGAUAGGAUCACGCGGCCUUAAAAAGUACCUUAAUCAUACCAUAUCAUAAUACUACUCGAUCAUAUUCACGUUCACAUAGGAGACAAAGCCAAACAUUGUCCUUGUAUACCAAAGUCACCAAACAAACUUUCGUUAGUACUUGAAAGUCCAUCAACAAAGCCACCGUGUCCCCAGUUGUUGCAAGAUUGUCCCUUUGCAUAUCUCUGAUUUUGAAGACUUUCGCUUCUUAUUAUUCCUCUUUUUUCUUUUUUUGUUUGGCCGACUUUGUUUUUAGAUGCUCCUCCCCUUUUCAUUUUUAGUACAUGUAAUACAACGACUAAAUAGUUUAUCUAUUGAUAUUGUAAAGAGUUUUUAUAUUGUUAUCUAAUAAUAAAUUGCUAUGAGUCAAGUAGUAAUACAAUCACAACAGUUUUA
rnacentral:lncRNA from 1 species